AUGUAUAUGAUGAGUUACUUGGAUUCCCCUUCAAGACAUAAUUGAUGAUGAAAGACCAAGUUUCUGAUGCU